rnacentral:rRNA from 1 species
GACGAACGCUGGCGGCGUGCUUAACACAUGCAAGUCGAACGGAAAGGCCCUGCUUUUGUGGGGUGCUCGAGUGGCGAACGGGUGAGUAACACGUGAGUAACCUGCCCUUGACUUUGGGAUAACUUCAGGAAACUGGGGCUAAUACCGGAUAGGAGCUCCUGCUGCAUGGUGGGGGUUGGAAAGUUUCGGCGGUUGGGGAUGGACUCGCGGCUUAUCAGCUUGUUGGUGGGGUAGUGGCUUACCAAGGCUUUGACGGGUAGCCGGCCUGAGAGGGUGAUCGGCCACAUUGGGACUGAGAUACGGCCCAGACUCCUACGGGAGGCAGCAGUGGGGAAUAUUGCACAAUGGGCGGAAGCCUGAUGCAGCAACGCCGCGUGCGGGAUGACGGCCUUCGGGUUGUAAACCGCUUUCGCCUGUGACGAAGCGUGAGUGACGGUAAUGGGUAAAGAGGCACCGGCUAACUACGUG